rnacentral:lncRNA from 1 species
GCGGGCAGCAGGCAGGACACGUGGAAACGCAACCGCCAGGAGGAAAGGCGGGACACAGCGGGAAGGGAGGUUUGCCUCCCCUCUCUUCCUGUGGUGACCCCCACCUCACUUACAAAAAUCACCACCGACGUUUGGGAACCGUGCACGCCGACUGAAAGCAAAGCUCAGCUGACCUGCGAGGAGUCCCCGGGGAGCUGCCGCGGUGGUCGCCGUUGAGUCCGUCCGUGCCGCUGGGGCCGAGGCAGCUGGAGAUGUGGUCAACGGGCUGAUGGGCACGGCUGUGGGACCCCAUCAUUCCCCUGCCCCGCAUGACUCUGCUCUCCCAGCUCGACUGCUCACUUCAGACUUCCCUUAUGGAAGGAGUUGCCAGAUAGAGCAAGUAAAAUACAGUGUGCCAGACACAGGUUUAUUUCAACACUGGGAAGGCUCCAUUCCUACUUAAACCCAGCAGGGAACAGGGAGCGGUGUGCAGAGGAGGUGGCCUGCCCGGGAAGCCGGCCUUGGUGCUGGGACUGCAGGGAGAGGGCUGUGAGGAAGAGCACAGGCUUCAUGCACAUUGCACAGAGGAGGAGAUUCAUGGGGACAGCAGGCACUGGUUAGGCACAGCGGGAAGGUUAUCGAAGACAAAACACAUUUCUACCCAAGUUUAAAUGACCUGCUAUGCCCACAGAGCUUGAUCCAGAAGUGCACAGUAGAGACGGGGUUUCACCAUGUUAGCCAGGAUGGUCUCGAUCUCCUGACCUCGUGAUCUGCCCGCCUCAGCCUCCCAAAGUGCUGGGAUUACAGGAGUGAGCCACCGCUCCCGGCCCAGAACUUUUAAUAAAUAUAAAUACACAGGUAAUUUUAACACAUAUUCCUGAUGAAAUCAUUAUUAUCUGCAAUGCUUUCAUUCUGCUUUUUCUCUUAACAAUGGCAUAAACAUUUUUCAAGGUCAAUAAAUGUUUUUCAAAAUCGCAUUUGUAUUAGUGGCUGUAUAGUUUUCUAUCAAAUGUGGAAUAAACUCAAUUUAUUUCUCCCUUUUGUUCUUGAACAUUUAAGAUCAUUGGUUCAUAGUUACUAAUCAUGUUACAACAAAUAUUCAUGUAUUCCAAAUUUUGCUCAUUCCUGAUUAUUUCCUUAGAUUUCCAGGUAUGGAAUAAUUAGGUUGAAGUGUUUGAAAUCUUUUUUUGUUGGUUUGUUUGUUUUUGAGAUGUAGCUUCCCUCUGUUGCCCCGGCUGGAGUGCACUGGCAUGAUCUCAGCUCACUCACUGCAACCUCUGCUGCCUGGUUCAAGCGAUUCUCCUGCCUCAGCCUCCUGAAUAGCUGGGGUUACAGGUGCGCACCACCACGCCCGGCUAAUUUUUGUAUUUUUAGUAGAGACAGGGUUUCAUCAUGUUGGCCAGGUGGGUCUCAAACUCCUGACCUCAGGUGGUCCUUCUGCCUUGGCCUCCCAAAGUGCUGGGAUUACAGGCGUGAGCCACUGCGCCCGGCCGAAGUGUUUGAAAUCUUUAAGCAUCCUGGUAAAUAUUGAGUUUUGUCAAUAUUUAGAAAAGUUGCAUGAUUGACAUCGCUUCCACCCAUGUUUCAGAGCAUCUGAUUUGUCAGACCCUCACCAAAAAUGGGCUUUUAUCAAAAUGUAAUAAAAAAUAAAUACAACUUUUCCAAUGACAA